rnacentral:rRNA from 1 species
UUUGAAAAUAAUUUAAAGUAGGGCCUGCCCACUGAAAAUUUUAAAGGGCCGCAGUAUUUUGACUGUGCAAAGGUAGCAUAAUCAUUAGUUUUUUAAUUGAAAGCUUGUAUGAAUGGUUUGAUGAAAAAAUAACUUUCUUUAUCAUAAUUUUUAAAAAUUUUAUUUUUAAGUUAAAAAGCUUAAAUUUUUUUAAUAGACGAGAAGACCCUAUAGAGUUUAAUUUAAUUAAAUUUUUAAAUUUUUAGAAUUUAAUAAUUUUUAUUUUUAAUUAAAUUUGAUUGGGGUGAUUGAAAAAUUUAAUAAACUUUUUUUUUAUAAUUACAUUAAUUUAUGAUUUAUUGAUCCAUAAAAAUGAUUAAAAGAAUAAAUUACCUUAGGGAUAACAGCGUUAUUUUUCUUUAGAGUUCUAAUCGAAAGAAAAGAUUGCGACCUCGAUGUUGGAUUAAAGUAAAUUUUAGGUGUAGAAGCUUAAAAAUUUGGUCUGUUCGACCAUUAAAACUUUACA